GCUGCUGUGGCUUACCGGCAAAGCUCCCUUCGCGCUUACAUCACAGGGUGGGGUUUCCAAGGGCGACGUGGGUUCGACUCCCACCAAUAGCA